CCUACGGGUGGCAGCAGUGGGGAAUAUUGGGCAAUGGGCGCAAGCCUGACCCAGCAACGCCGCGUGAAGGAUGAAGGUUUUCGGGUUGUAAACUUCUUUUAUCAGGGACGAAGCAUGUGACGGUACCUGAGCAAUAAGUCACGGCUAACUACGUGCCAGCAGCAGCGGUAAUACGUAGGUGGCAAGCGUUAUCCGGAUUUACUGGGUGUAAAGCGCGUGUAGGCGGGAGGGCAAGUCAAAUGUGAAAACUAUGGGCUCAACCCAUAACCUGCAUUUGAAACUGUAUUUCUGGAGUGCUGGAGAGGCAAUCGGAAUUCCGGGUGUAGCGGUGAAAUGCGUAGAUAUCCGGAGGAACACCAGUGGCGAAGGCGGAUAGCUGGCAAAUAACUGACGCUGAGGCGCGAAAGCGUGGGGAGCAAACAGGAUUAGAUACCCUAGUAGUC
rnacentral:rRNA from 1 species